GCAAGACAUAGCCUUACAUAUUACACGUGACAAUAUAUGGCGCAGUGACUUAUGGGGCUGGCACAAAUUUUUUUUCCAGGGCUGCUUUGUAUCCCCAGUCCAGCAAUAGUGUCCCUUUUUUUUUUAAACUUUCAGACGCCCGGUGUUCUGGUAAAACCCCUUAACCCGUACAAAUUUCCUACCCUUGUUACAUCUGGUGACAUGGCUGCACUGGAAGAGAGUCCAGCUAAACAGGCCAUCAUAACCCCCCUAGUGGGCAGUCCUUCCCAUUAUAGGCAUCAGUGACACAAAGGACAUCACUGGCAAUGUACCCCUCAGGGCCCGACCUGAUUGGGAGGUAUAUCACUGGUCAGAAGCACUGCUCUCUUCCCCCCAAGCCCAUGAACAAUUUAACCCC